UAAUAAAGGAAUAAAAAUUCAAAUAUUAAUUAAAAGUAUUUUUAAAACAUUUUUAAAAACAAGCUUUUCAAAUGGAUAAAAGGCUCACAUUCACUUUCUUCUACAUCAUAUUCAAACUUGUCCAAAUAAAUAAUAAAGUCAUCUCGACUCAAAGAAAAUCAUAUAAGUCUCAUACAAUUAAUAUAGAACCUAUAUCCUAAUGUCACAUCCUAUCAGAGCGUGGUGUUCCCGUGUCCUCUAGCAUGAGGUUCUUCAUAGUCAUCCACCUAUUCAUCUGCUCCCCCGAACACAAGUUCAAGAUCAUCACAGGAUCCAAACACAACAACACACAGGGAGUGAGUUAUCACAUUCCUAGCUAAUAGAGAAACAAGACAAUUAAAUAUACAUAUUAUAUAAAUGAGAUACCACUUGCUUAAACAUAGCUCACGUAACUUCACCACUUCAUCAUUCAAAAUUCACUUUUCAAUUAUCAAUCACAUUACACAAGAAUCCCACACUUCGAUCAAGAUAUAAUAACACAUCAAUUAGCAAGCAUAUGCAAUAGUUAUGCUAAGACUCAAUCCUAUAUGCAAUGUGGUACCAUGUCAGUGAAAAACCACCCUGGGGCGCUUAGGAGUACAUAACAAGACACACCACACAAUGGGUUUGUCAGGUCACUCUCACUAAGUAAGAUCAUAGGGAGACCAGUAAGGGUCACGAUGUUUUGCGAGAAUGCUCCAACCAUAUGAGAUCAGCAUAGGCUUAAAGGAGCACUCAAACCCGGUGACCCCCAAGGCUUACACUCCGAAGAGUCCGUCAGGGCCUCUCCCUCCUGAUUCAGGUCCAACCCCUAAAAUAAUUUUUGCAUGCAGACACUGCUCAUGAAUUAUACAAUACCCACGACCUUAUACUCGUGUUUUAAACACGUUCAACACAAUCGCACUAUGAUUUAACACUGGCUCCUAAAUAGGAAACCUACAUUUUCUCUUUAACACUGCGCAUCAACGCUUUUCUCAAGAUAACACUGGUCGGGUUAUUGUACAAUUCAUAGCUUACAACACAAGCAAUUUCACAUCAAGUGUUAACUACACACUUAUCCACAACUAGAACUCAUUCACAAUUUCAUUUCUCAUAGUGUGACAAUCCACCAUCACAUGUUUACACGUAUCUCACAAAUUAACACAUGUUCAACUUUACACUUAUACUCAAUCUCAAUAACAAUAUUAUAAUCUCAAAGCAACAUAUUCUUCUACAAUUCAUCACAUACUCACAAUUUGAAUCAUCAUUUCAUAUCCUCAAUAUAACAAUUUAUAUAAAACACUAUCACAACAUUAGGAUUAAAACCCCUUAACUAAUAUUACACAAUUAUAUCAAAAUCAUAGGUCGAAAUAUACAAAUAUCAAGAGCACAAUUUAUCAAGCAAUUUUCAUUAGGACAUCAAUAUUUUAUUUAUAAUCAUAAAGGAAAAAUUGCAAUUUAAUAAACAUCUCAAAAUAAAACCCCAAUUUAAUCCUCUAAGGAUCCCUACACAUGUUCUCACUAAUCCCCAACUGUGAAUAACUCAUCCCUUACCUCUGAGCGGACUCACGUGUCUUCAGC
rnacentral:lncRNA from 1 species